UUGAUGAAUAUAACAUUGUUUGUGAUAGAUAUGGUUGGAUACAACAAGUUAGAAACUAGAAGGGAGCUGGCUCUGGAAACUUAUACUUUAAAAGUAUUCCGCGAUGUUGUCAAUUAU